GCCUGCACGUAUACAUCCAGAUGAAGCAAGUGAAGAAUCACAAAAGAAGUGAAAAUGGCCGGUUCCUGCCUUAACUGAUGACAUUACCUUGUGAAAUUCCUUCUCCUGGCUCAGAAGCUCCCCCACUGAGGCACCUUGUGACCCCCACUCCUCCCCGCCACAGAACAACCCCCUUUGACUGUAAUUUUCCACUGCCCGCCCAAACCCUAUAAAACGGUCCCACCCCAUCUCCCUUCCCUGACUCUCUUUUCUUCGGACUCAGCCCGCCUGCACCCAGGU
rnacentral:lncRNA from 10 species